AAUAGCUCAGUUGGUAGAGCGCAACCUUGCCAAGGUUGAGGUCGCGAGUUCGAGACUCGUUU
rnacentral:tRNA from 1 species